rnacentral:lncRNA from 10 species
GCUCUACCCUCUUCCUCUCCACAUGUGAGAGUUCACCAUAAAUUAACACGUUAAACAGAAGGACAGGCACAGAGAGAGUCAGAAACCCAGGCUCCCUCAUGGGGAUGUGGCAGGCCAGUUUUCUGCUUUACCCCUCAAUUUUCUCAUCUGUAAAAGGGGUUAAUAAUUCCUGUACGGCCACACCCCCUCCCAAGGCUGUGGUGAGGAUUAAGAGGGUGAUGGAGAUAAUGACUGGGCAUGAAUUCAAGAGGGAGGGGCCACAUGAAAUGGUAGUAGGGGCUUCCAUUUACCUGGGCUCACCUGGCCUGCCCAAGCUCAUAGGUCAAUUGUAACACCCCACUAUCUGCCAUUUGUAUGGCUCUUUACAGACAGAAACCUGAGGCUCAGAGGGAAGUACCUUGCUCUAGGUCAUAAAGCUCAGGUUGUGUAAGGUGAGAAGGAACUCAGCAGAGCCAGCAGCAGCUCCUCUCUCUCUAGUUUGCAUUAUAUUUGAAAUUUAUCACAACAGAAGCAACAGGAGACACGUGAAGACGGCCAGAGUCAGGUCUGGAACCAGGGUGUCUGUGUCCAUUGUCCUCAUUCUUAACCGGGGUGCUAUGUAUGAUACACAGUUGGGUGAAGGCUGAGCUUCACUGAGGCUGGAGAGCGCUCAUGUUCCCACUCAGGCCCCAUCGCCCAUCUGCAGAUGGUGGCCCCUCCACAGGUGGGCAAUGAGGCCUGAGUGUAGACAUCCAAGGGAGAUAAGAGGUGCUAAAGUCUGGUGGGCCAGGGAGUUGGCUCUGAAUCUGCAUCUUUGGACCAGGUCAUAGGAAUCCAACUGUCUGCUCCUUGCUUCACAGCUCCUUCCCUAGCCACUCUGAAUGGGCCCAGAAAGAACUCAGGCUGGUGACGAUGGGUAAUCAGACCUGCUUGUAGAACAUUAGAGCUCACUUAGAGCUUCGAAUCAGCCUAGAUAGAGGCCAAUGUCCAUCAACUGAUGUGGGGAGGUUGGAGGUUUCUGAGGGAGAGAUAGGAGCAUUUGCAAGGAAGCAGGACUCCUGAAAAGAAAGGGAUAAAGAUUCCCAGCCCUAUAAGAGUUACAAGUACUGAAGCAUACCUAGUGGCCUGGAGUGGUCCUGAGCAAGGCACAAUAACAAGGAUGAACCAGGAAGAGGACUCCACACAGAAUUCACGAAGGGAGGGAGAUGGCACCAGCUGGCUUACAUCUACACUGAGGCAAAGGAUGGGAGAGGACAUGAAGGUAGGUGGUGCUUUAUCCUUCUUAUAAAUCUAAACAUUAAUAAAAUCCAGCGCCUCGAACGCUGCAUCCUCUGGAGGGGAGGUAUUUACCCAAGACAAAUAAAAACAUAUGACCACAAAAAGAAUUGUUAAAAAACCAAAAGUCCAUAGCAGCUUUGUUCACAAUGGAUAAAAGCUAGAAAUAUCCCAGGUGUCCAUCAACAGAAGAGUGGACAAACUGUGGUAUAUCCACACAACAGGAUACGACUCUGUGCAAAGAAGACAAAAAUUAGUGAUAUGCACAUCCACAUGUAUGAAUCUUAAAAACACUGGGCUGACUGAAAGAGGCCUUUUAUGGUAUGUCUCAAUUCACAUGAUGUCCUAGAACAGAUACAAUUAAGCUCUGGUAGGAAAAAAAAAAAGAAAAAAACAGAAAAGUGUUUGCAGGUGGAGGCGGGAGCAGUGGGAAUUGGAUGGGAAAAAGCAUGAGUGGACUUCCUGGCGUGAAGAAUAUUUUCUAUCUCUUGAUGAAGGGUUUGAAUUACAUCAGUGGAUGAACUUGGCAAAACUCUUUGAAUAGUAAGACUUAAGAUUUGUG